rnacentral:rRNA from 1 species
CCGCACAGCAGUGGAGUAUGUGGUUUAAUUCGAAGCAACGCGAAGAACCUUACCAGGUCUUGACAUCCAACUAACGAAGUAGAGAUACAUCAGGUGCCCUUCGGGGAAAGUUGAGACAGGUGGUGCAUGGUUGUCGUCAGCUCGUGUCGUGAGAUGUUGGGUUAAGUCCCGCAACGAGCGCAACCCUUGCUAUUAGUUGCUACGCAAGAGCACUCUAAUAGGACUGCCGUUGACAAAACGGAGGAAGGUGGGGACGACGUCAAAUCAUCAUGCCCCUUAUGACCUGGGCUACACACGUACUACAAUGGCCAUCAACAGAGGGAAGCAAAACAGCGAUGUGGAGCAAACCCCUAAAAAUGGUCUCAGUUCAGAUUGCAGGCUGCAACCCGCCUGCAUGAAGUCGGAAUUGCUAGUAAUCGCGGAUCAGCAUGCCGCGGUGAAUACGUUCCCGGGCCUUGUUACACACCGCCCGU